AUUGAACGCUGGCGGCAGGCCUAACACAUGCAAGUCGAGCGAGCGGCGGACGGGUGAGUAAUGUCUGGGAAACUGCCCGCUGGAGGGGGAUAACUACUGGACACGGUAGCUAAUACCGCAUACCAUCGGAUGUGCCCAGAUGGGAUUAGCUAGUAGGUGGGGUACAGGCUCACCUAGGCGACGAUCCCUAGCUGGUCUGAGAGGAUGACCAGCCACACUGGAAAGGAGACACGGUCCAGGCUCCUACGGGAGGCAGCAGUGGAGAAUAUUGCACAAGGGGCGCAAGCCUGAUACAGCCAUGCCGCUGGUAUGAAGAAGGCCUUCGGGUUGUAAAGUACUUUCAGCGGGGAGGCGUUACCCGCAGAAGAAGCACCGGCUAACUCCGUGCCAGCAGCCGCGGUAAUUC
rnacentral:rRNA from 1 species